AUCACAUAAUUUAAUAAUCUUCGUAUAAUCAUGGGGAUAUGGCCCAUAAGUUUCUACCGAGCUACCGUUAAUGGCUUGACUACGAGUAAAUGAUGAUAUACC
rfam:Bacillus sp. FJAT-27916 Scaffold1, whole genome shotgun sequence.